rnacentral:rRNA from 1 species
CACGUAGGGCGCAAGCGUUGUCCGGAAUUAUUGGGCGUAAAGGGCUCGUAGGCGGUUUGUCGCGUCGGGAGUGAAAUCCACUGGCUUAACUGGUGGCUUGCUUUCGAUACGGGCAGACUGGAGGUAUGCAGGGGAGAACGGAAUUCCUGGUGUAGCGGUGAAAUGCGCAGAUAUCAGGAAGAACACCAAUGGCGAAGGCAGCUCUCUGGGACGGUACUGACGCUGAGACGCGAAAGCGUGGGGAGCGAACAGG